UGAUGCUUCCAGCCUGUGGUCCCUGCUCUGAAUACAAGCAGUUCUCUGUGUCUGAGACUUGACAAGUAACAUCAAAGAUGACUCAAGAACAAAGCUAACCAACCAUGGCCUGCAGCAUCCUUCAACCAGGAGUUAUCUUUAGUCAAGCUUUGCUAUCUAAUUUUUAGUGUUUCUGUUUGUACUCUUUAAGAAGAAGUCCUAAAACUCUUGUGGUAUAAAGCUUUCCUUGUUUCUAUCUGGAAGUUCUGUCAGCCACAGGGAGAGGACAGUGAAGAAAUUAAGAUAAAGCACAAUUUCUAUGUUGUAAAGAACUUUCUUUUUUUCCUUCACUUUUAUGAUGGUUAUUACAAUAUACUGAGAUCAUCAUAAAUGAAGGGAGCAACAACUUUUAGAGUGUAAAAAGCUCUGGUCUGCUC
rnacentral:lncRNA from 1 species